AUUGAACGCUGGCGGCGUGCUUAACACAUGCAAGUCGAACGAGUGGCGAACGGGUGAGUAACGCAUCGGCACGUGCCUAAUCAAGGGGGAUAACUGUCAGAAAGGACAGCUAAUACCGCAUAAUAUUCGAUCGGCCGUUGUCGGAUUAGCUGGUUGGCGGGGUAAAGGCCCACCAAGGCGACGAUCCUUAGCGGGUCUGAGAGGAUGAUCGGCCACACUGGGACUGAGACACGGCCCAGACUCCUACGGGAGGCAGCAGUGGGGAAUCUUGGACAAUGGGCGAAAGCCUGACCGAGCCAUGCCGCGUGUGUGAAGAAGGCCUUCGGGUUGUAAAGGACUGUUGUCAGGGAAGCGGUACCUGAAGAGUAAGCACCGGCUAACUACGUGCCAGCAGCCGCGGUAAUAC
rnacentral:rRNA from 1 species